rnacentral:lncRNA from 12 species
UGCCCUCACUUAGGAGAAUCCACAUUGAUUCAUUCCCAAAGCUCCAACUUUGAAUGCUCAUAUUAUUUUUAUUAAAUUUAACUCUGGUUCUUCUUCCUUUCUCCCCUUUCCCCUGCACCCUCCAGCUAUAUCAGCCUCAGAGUCAAAACAGGAAUAAAUGGAAAACACAUUGGAAAGAGGAUUAUGUCCAUAUGGAGGAGGAUUGACAUCCAUUUCCAAACUGGGAAGAUUGAGUUACACCAGCCAGUUUUGCCUUUGGUUACCCACCCAAAAUGCCUGUGCAGGGCUGCUUCUGUGCUGGAGUGGUUUGGAGCAGGGCUCUGACAUCUGUUUGGAA